AUCGCUUCUCAGCCUUUCGGCUAAGAUCAAGUGUAGUAUCUGU
rfam:Eurypyga helias contig100936, whole genome shotgun sequence.